GAAAGGUGAAAAGAACCGCGGGAGCGGAGUGAAAGAGAACCUGAAACCGUAUGUCUACAAGCAGUCGGAGCGCAAGCGACGGCGUGCCUAUUGAAGAAUGAGCCAACGAGUUACGGGCACCAGCGAGGUUAAGCAGGAAAUGCGGAGCCGUAGGGAAACCGAGUCUGAAAAGGGCGGAUAGUUGGUGUUCGUAGACCCGAAACUGUAGUGAUCUACCCAUGAUCAGGUUGAAGCACGGGUAAAAUCGUGUGGAGGACCGAACCGGUGAGUGUUGAAAAACUUUCGGAUGAAUCGUGGGUAGCGGUGAAAUUCCAAUCGAACGCAGAGAUAGCUGGUUCUCCUCGAAAUAGCUUUAGGGCUAGCCUCAGGCAGUAAGCAUAGGCGGUAGAGCACUGAUCGGGAUAGGGACUGUAAUGGUUACCGAACCCUGUCAAACUACGAAUGGUUAUGCUGCAGAGCCUGGGAGUCAGACUACGAGAGAUAAGUCCCGUUGUCAAAAGGGAAACAGCCCAGACCAUCAGCUAAGGUCCCCAAUGCCAUACUAAGUGGAAAAGGAUGUGGGGUCUCAUAAACAACCAGGAUGUUGGCUCAGAAGCAGCCACCAUUUAAAGAGUGCGUAAUAGCUCACUGGUCGAGAGACCCUGCGCCGAAGAUUCCCGGGGCUAAAGUACGAAACCGAAGCUGUGGCUGUAUACGUAAAGUAUACGGGGUAGGGGAGCGUUCCCAUAGGGUAGAAGUCGAACUGGAAGGUUCGGUGGACUUGUGGGAAGUGAGAAUGUUGGUAUGAGUAGCGAAAAGAAAGGUGAGAAUCCUUUCCACCGAAAGCAUAAGGAUUCCUGAGCAACGAUCGUCGUCUCAGGGUAAGUCGGGACCUAAUCCGAGGCAGAGAGCGUAGGAGAUGGACAACUGGUUGAUAUUCCAGUACCGGUAGUAAUUGUUUGAGCAAUGGAGUGACACAGAAGGGCAGGCAAGCAUGCGAAUGGAAGAGCAUGUGUAAGCGUGUAGGGUGGUGCAUAGGCAAAUCCGUGCACUGAAAGCCUGAGGCGUGAUGCGGAGUGAGCAGAGAUGCGAGCGAAGUUGUUGACCCCACACUGUCGAGAAAAGCUUCUAGUGAGAGAGCUACCGCCCGUACCGUAAACCGACACAGGUAUGCGGGGAGAGAAUCCUAAGGUGCGCGGGAGAACCCUCGUUAAGGAACUCGGCAAAAUGUACCCGUAACUUCGGGAUAAGGGUAGCCACUGUUGUGAAGUCCCAUGCGGAUGGAGCAUAGAGUGGUCGCAGAGAAGAGGCCCAAGCGACUGUUUACCAUAAACACAGGUGCCUGCUAAAGCGAAAGCUGACGUAUAGGUGCUGACACCUGCCCAGUGCCGGAAGGUUAAGGAAGGAUGUUCGGAUUAGUCCAAAGCAUUCGACUGAAGCCCCGGUGAACGGCGGCCGUAACUAUAACGGUCCUAAGGUAGCGAAAUUCCUUGUCGGGUAAGUUCCGACCCGCAUGAAAGGCGUAAUGAUUUGGGCACUGUCUCAACGAGGGGCCCGGUGAAAUUGAAAUACCUGUGAAGAUGCAGGUUACCCGCGACUGGACAGAAAGACCCCAUGGAGCUUCACUGCAGCUUGAGAUUGAAUCCCGGUGACAUAUGCACAGGAUAGGUGGGAGGCGACGAAGUAAUGCCUUUGGGUGUUACAGAGCCGAUGUUGGGAUACCACCCUUAUGUUGCUGAGAUUCUAACACGGAGACUAACAACCUCGUGGACCAUCUCAGGCAGGCGGUUUGACUGGGGCGGUCGCCUCCUAAAAUGUAACGGAGGCGCCCAAAGGUUCCCUCAGGCCGGACAGAAACCGGCCGAAGAGUGCAAAGGCAGAAGGGAGCUUGACUGCGAGACAGACAAGUCGAGCAGAGACGAAAGUCGGGCUUAGUGAUCCGGUGGUACUGAGUGGAAAGGCCAUCGCUCAACGGAUAAAAGCUACCCUGGGGAUAACAGGCUAAUCUCUCCCAAGAGUUCAUAUCGACGGGGAGGUUUGGCACCUCGAUGUCGGCUCAUCACAUCCUGGAGCUGGAGUAGGUUCCAAGGGUUGGGCUGUUCGCCCAUUAAAGUGGUACGCGAGCUGGGUUCAAAACGUC
rnacentral:rRNA from 1 species